UACGAGGGGGGCGAGCGUUGUUCGGAAUUAUUGGGCGUAAAGGGUGCGUAGGCGGCCUGACAAGUCUGAUGUGAAAUCCCUGGGCUCAACCCAGGGCCUGCAUCGGAAACUGUCGGGCUUGAGUAUGAGAGAGGUGAGUGGAAUUCCCAGUGUAGAGGUGAAAUUCGUAGAUAUUGGGAAGAACACCGGUGGCGAAGGCGGCUCACUGGCUCAUUACUGACGCUCAUGCGCGACAGCGUGGGGAUCAAACAGG
rnacentral:rRNA from 1 species